rnacentral:rRNA from 1 species
AUUGAACGCUGGCGGCAGGCCUAACACAUGCAAGUCGAACGAGUGGCGGACGGGUGAGUAAUGUCUGGGAAACUGCCUGAUGGAGGGGGAUAACUACUGGAAACGGUAGCUAAUACCGCAUACCAUCAGAUGUGCCCAGAUGGGAUUAGCUUGGUGGUGGGGUAACGGCUCACCAAGGCGACGAUCCCUAGCUGGUCUGAGAGGGUGAACGGCCACAAUGGAACUGAGACACGGCCCAGACUCCUACGGGAGGCAGCAGGGGGGAAUCUUGCACAAUGGGCGAAAGCCUGAUUGAGCCAUGCCGCGUGGAUGAAGAAGGCCUUCGGGUUGUAAAGUACUUUUGGCGGGGAGGCGGUAUCCGCCGAAGAAGCACCGGCUAACUCCGUGCCAGCAGCCGCGGUAAUAC